CUGUCUCUGUCCCCCAACUGCACAUCCUCCUUUCCCUCCUUGUCUCCCGUCCCUGCGGGAUUCCUCCGGGCAUCUCAGCUGGGACAACCGGGCUCGCGGGAGCCGUGGAGAUGGACGCCCCGGUCGAAGCUAUUUCUUCUCCCUUCCCUCCAUCCGAGCCUGUAUGAGCCUCUCCCCUUUCCCUAUCCUUCCGAGACCCCCGUGGACCCCGGGGCGGGCACGCAGGAGUCAAACUGCUGCCUGAAGCUUGAGAAGCAGGGAAAAGAAGAAUGAACUGGGGGACAGGAAAGGGGAAGAGAAAACUAGGGAGAAUGAAAUUGGAGGGCACGGAGGCCCCGCUGCUUCAUUCCUGUGUGCCUGGGGAUAUAUUUGUAUCUAUUUCUGCACUUCAUCGAUGCAAAGGAUCUGUGUCUGUUUCUUCACACCAUUACAUAUGAAAUCACCGGUUCCGGCCGCGGAUAUUUAAAGCCGCCAACCACUUAAUACAUCCAACAGACUGCAGAUUCUUCUUUUUGCUCCACUGGCCAAACCUACAUACCAGCCUCCAUGCUUCUUUGUGGCUCUUUUCUUCUUGAUGACUGCCCAGGCCAACUGAAGAAGAACAGAUGAGGAACAGCAGGUCCAAAUCAGCAGCUGGCUGCCUGCCACCAUGAGGAAAUCAGUCAGGCUGCUUCCCGCUCUGAGUCCACCAGCCCUUUCCGACACAUUAACCCAUUACCCAGCCAUGAAAUUCAAACACGUGUAGCCCUUCAUUCUCAGGAUGAGGUGGGGCAUGAGGAAUAUUGCUCUAAUCGUGUGGUCUGGGUUGAGCUGAGAUAAGGACCUAAGUGAGAAGAGUCCGCUCUUACAAUGAUGAAGCUCUUCAAUUAUUGCUUUACUUUUACCUAAUU